UUUUUAGAAUAGCUGAGGAGAUCGCUUUCAACAGGGAAGCCUAUCUAAGGAGGUGUGACAGGUGGUCCAGAUGAUGCAGUUCAGCUGGCAUGCAGGAUUUGGAGUGGUGAUGGCACUUUGUUAUGCUGACUUUCUAUGGUUUGCUCACAGAGCUUGUGUUGCACCUGUGAGGCACUUCCUUGCGUGUGUGUAAGCACAUAACCUUAAGCAAGCCAUCUUAAUGUGCUUGUCAUAUUGGUCAUAUGACUGCCUGUAACAUGGACCCUUUGCUGGAGUUGCUAUAAUUUCCUCUGCAGCCCUUACUGGAGUACAAGUGUUAUGCUGGCUGUACAGCAUACCUAAGUGGCAUUGAGCUGUUUUACACUAUGAUAUCUUUAACAUUUAGAGAUGUGCCAUAGUGCUGUGAUCAGUUUCUGAAUGCCUCCUAUAGACGUACUAAGCACGGACUCGCCCCCACAAAAAAAUUGAGUUGUUACAUGUGAGGUAUUACUACUCCUGCACUGCAGCUGCACAAGCAUAAUCCUUUACUAUGAACAUUUCUUCAUGUCAUAACCUUAUUGAGAAGUGUUGCUAAAGUAGUUACUGAUAAACUGCUAAAAAUAUCACCUUGUGCUACCACCAAAAUCAGAACUGUAAGGACUUAAUGUCUCUACAGUAUUAACAAAUCAGUCAUUCAUUUCAUCUCUAUUACAUUAUUUACAUGUUCUAUUUAAAAUCUACCUUGCAAUGGAAACAGUAAACUUUAUGUAUAUAUGUGUGUACACGUGUUUAAAGCAGUACAUUUUCUUUGUAACUAGUGCAUUUGUCUUUUAAAACAAGGUGUCUUUGUAAACACUGCAAGUUCAUUUAAAUUUGCAAAUGUUCCAUUAAACAAUUGUAUAAUUACAAAUUCUGAACUAUAUAAUGCAGGCAUAUGUCAGACAAUAAAGAUUUCACAAGACUU